rnacentral:lncRNA from 1 species
AUCGUGCGGAGCAAGCAUCACACCAUGGCGUAUGAGUGUUCCUCUGUGUAGACUCAACCUGCGCCUCGCCGUCCCCCAUUCGCACACCCGAUGCCCGGGGGUCGCUACGGACUUAAAAUCUCCGCACCGCACCCUCCACCUCAGGAUUCCACGGGAGAUGAGUGAAUAAACGACUGAACAUUGUGCAUAAACAGACAAUUUAUAUAUUCAUAAGAUUAAGACAUUUUGUAUUCCUCAUCCGUUAUGCAAAGCAAAGACUAGACACUCUGGAGUCAUCUCUCAUGAGAACAAACCUGCGGACAGCUGGGAAGCACACCAGCCACCAACUGGGAGUAUUAAAAAGAGCAAUCCAGUCUCCAAAUCAAGGGGAGGGUUCAAAUCAUAGACAAGCUGCAGAGCCACCGGGUCUCAGAGUUUCCCGCGGAAACGCUGGGACUCGCUACCAAUCCCAUGAGCGCACCUGGGGAUUUUAACGUCUGGUGGGAUGGUGGAUUCCGAGUGUGGUUGGACAGGGCUGGAGUGCCCUGAAAGGCCUGAAUGCUCUCCUGCCG